rnacentral:lncRNA from 1 species
GUCCAGUAGGACCUGUAGACAUGAACGAGGUCCGGUAGGACCUGUAGACAUUAACGAGGUCCAGUAGGACCUGUAGACAUUAACGAGGUCCAGUAGGACCUGUAGACGCGGCCGGUCCGCGGGAACAUUAACGAGGUCCAGUAGGUUUAGUCAUUACAGAAGGGUGACUUGGUGAAGAGGAUUUUGAAUAUUGACUCUGUGGUCCUCAACCAGCCAGCAUGGAAGCUACUGGUGUUUAGAUUUUCAUUGGCUUCUCUCCAAGCUUGGCUCAAUGUGCAGGGAACUUUGUGUUUGCAUGAUAUGCCAACGGCUGUGUCCUCUAACCCAGCCUGGCAGUUAGGACUUAUCCUCUGUUACCAUAGAGACGUGUAUAUACUAGAAUCCUCUCUCUGU